ACAUGCAAGUCGAACGAGGUAGCAAUACCAAGUGGCAGACGGGUGCGUAACAUGUGGGAAUCUGCCUUUUGGUUCGGAACAACAUGGGGAAACCUGUGCUAAUACCGGAUAAGUCCUAACGGAGAAAGUUUUAACGCCGAAAGAUGAGCCCGCAUUUGAUUAGCUUGUUGGUGAGGUAAAAGCUCACCAAGGCAAUGAUCAAUAGCUGAUUUGAGAGGAUGAUCAGCCACACUGGGACUGAGACACGGCCCAGACUCCUACGGGAGGCAGCAGUGGGGAAUCUUGCACAAUGGAGGAAACUCUGAUGCAGCGAUGCCGCGUGAGUGAAGAAGGCCUUUGGGUUGUAAAGCUCUUUUGUCGGGAAAGAUAAUGACUGUACCCGAAGAAUAAGGUCCGG
rnacentral:rRNA from 1 species